UCGGGGACUGCAGCUCCUUCGCCGCCAUUGAAGAAGGUUAGUGGUGCAGGUCUAAACUAGAGCUAUUUCUAGAGUUCCGGCUAGGUUUUGGGUACCUGCUUGGCUUUUUAGGUAGUUUAGAUAAGGAAGAGAUUAGAGAGUUUGGGUGUUUCUCUUCUGCUCGGCUUCUCCUCUCCUCUCCUCUGGUUUCGAGCUGUUUUUGGCUGCAUGGUCAUGAAUAAGAGUGAAGGGAAGGACGGAGGGAAGAUGAGGAGGUGGAAGAAGGCUCUCUCUCUCUCUCUCUCUCGCUUUCUUUUGUUUGGUUUCUUUGCUUGUCGUUGACGUGGGGCUUCAGGAAAAUGGGGUUCGGUCUCCACCUCGAGGCUUUACGGUUUGACUAUUUAUAGGCAG
rnacentral:lncRNA from 1 species